rnacentral:rRNA from 1 species
AACGAACGCUGGCGGCAUGCCUAACACAUGUAAGUCGAACGAGACCUUCGGGUCUAGUGGCGCACGGGUGCGUAACGCGUGGGAACCUGCCCUUAGGUUCGGAAUAACUCCCCGAAAGGGGUGCUAAUACCGGAUAAUUUCUUCGGACCAAAGAUUUAUCGCCUUUGGAUGGGCCCGCGUUGGAUUAGCUAGUUGGUAGGGUAAAAGCCUACCAAGGCGACGAUCCAUAGCUGGUCUGAGAGGAUGAUCAGCCACACUGGGACUGAGACACGGCCCAGACUCCUACGGGAGGCAGCAGUGGGGAAUAUUGGACAAUGAGCGAAAGCCUGAUCCAGCAAUGCCGCGUGAGUGAUGAAGGCCUUAGGGUUGUAAAGCUCUUUUACCCGGGAUGAUAAUGACAGUACCGGGAGAAUAAGCUCCGGCUAACUCCGUG